UACGUAGGGUCCGAGCGUUGUCCGGAAUUACUGGGCGUAAAGAGCUCGUAGGUGGUUUGUCGCGUUGUCCGUGAAAACUCACAGCUCAACUGUGGGCGUGCGGGCGAUACGGGCAGACUGGAGUACUGCAGGGGAGACUGGAAUUCCUGGUGUAGCGGUGGAAUGCGCAGAUAUCAGGAGGAACACCGGUGGCGAAGGCGGGUCUCUGGGCAGUGACCGACGCUGAGGCACGAAGGUCAGGGGAGCAAACGGG
rnacentral:rRNA from 1 species